rnacentral:rRNA from 1 species
GACAGAGGGUGCAAACGUUGUUCGGAAUUACUGGGCGUAAAGCGUGUGUAGGCGGCCAUGUAAGUCGGAUGUGAAAGCCCCAGGCUCAACCUGGGAAGUGCAUUCGAUACUGCGUGGCUUGAGUAUCGGAGAGGUUGGUGGAAUUCUCGGUGUAGAGGUGAAAUUCGUAGAUAUCGAGAGGAACACCAGUGGCGAAGGCGACUUACUGGUCCAUGACUGACGCUGAGGCUCGAAAGCGUGGGGAGCAAACAGG